rnacentral:rRNA from 1 species
GACGAACGCUGGCGGCGUGCUUAACACAUGCAAGUCGAACGGAAAGACUCUGCUUUUGUGGGGUGCUCGAGUGGCGAACGGGUGAGUAACACGUGAGUAACCUGCCCUUGACUUUGGGAUAACUUCAGGAAACUGGGGCUAAUACCGGAUAGGAGCUCCUGCUGCAUGGUGGGGGUUGGAAAGUUUCGGCGGUUGGGGAUGGACUCGCGGCUUAUCAGCUUGUUGGUGGGGUAGUGGCUUACCAAGGCUUUGACGGGUAGCCGGCCUGAGAGGGUGACCGGCCACAUUGGGACUGAGAUACGGCCCAGACUCCUACGGGAGGCAGCAGUGGGGAAUAUUGCACAAUGGGCGGAAGCCUGAUGCAGCAACGCCGCGUGCGGGAUGACGGCCUUCGGGUUGUAAACCGCUUUCGCCUGUGACGAAGCGUGAGUGACGGUAAUGGGUAAAGAAGCACCGGCUAACUACGUG